GCAUGCUGGAGGUAUCAGAAGUGCGAAUGCUGACAUAAGUAACGAUAAAGCGGGUGAAAAGCCCGCUCGCCGGAAGACCAAGGGUUCCUGUCCAACGUUAAUCGGGGCAGGGUGAGUCGACCCCUAAGGCGAGGCCGAAAGGCGUAGUCGAUGGGAAACAGGUUAAUAUUCCUGUACUUGGUGUUACUGCGAAGGGGGGACGGAGAAGGCUAUGUUGGCCGGGCGACGGUUGUCCCGGUUUAAGCGUGUAGGCUGGUUUUCCAGGCAAAUCCGGAAAAUCAAGGCUGAGGCGUGAUGACGAGGCACUACGGUGCUGAAGCAACAAAUGCCCUGCUUCCAGGAAAAGCCUCUAAGCAUCAGGUAACAUCAAAUCGUACCCCAAACCGACACAGGUGGUCAGGUAGAGAAUACCAAGGCGCUUGAGAGAACUCGGGUGAAGGAACUAGGCAAAAUGGUGCCGUAACUUCGGGAGAAGGCACGCUGAUAUGUAGGUGAAGUCCCUCGCGGAUGGAGCUGAAAUCAGUCGAAGAUACCAGCUGGCUGCAACUGUUUAUUAAAAACACAGCACUGUGCAAACACGAAAGUGGACGUAUACGGUGUGACGCCUGCCCGGUGCCGGAAGGUUAAUUGAUGGGGUCAGCGCAAGCGAAGCUCUUGAUCGAAGCCCCGGUAAACGGCGGCCGUAACUAUAACGGUCCUAAGGUAGCGAAAUUCCUUGUCGGGUAAGUUCCGACCUGCACGAAUGGCGUAAUGAUGGCCAGGCUGUCUCCACCCGAGACUCAGUGAAAUUGAACUCGCUGUGAAGAUGCAGUGUACCCGCGGCAAGACGGAAAGACCCCGUGAACCUUUACUAUAGCUUGACACUGAACAUUGAGCCUUGAUGUGUAGGAUAGGUGGGAGGCUUUGAAGUGUGGACGCCAGUCUGCAUGGAGCCGACCUUGAAAUACCACCCUUUAAUGUUUGAUGUUCUAACGUUGACCCGUAAUCCGGGUUGCGGACAGUGUCUGGUGGGUAGUUUGACUGGGGCGGUCUCCUCCUAAAGAGUAACGGAGGAGCACGAAGGUUGGCUAAUCCUGGUCGGACAUCAGGAGGUUAGUGCAAUGGCAUAAGCCAGCUUGACUGCGAGCGUGACGGCGCGAGCAGGUGCGAAAGCAGGUCAUAGUGAUCCGGUGGUUCUGAAUGGAAGGGCCAUCGCUCAACGGAUAAAAGGUACUCCGGGGAUAACAGGCUGAUACCGCCCAAGAGUUCAUAUCGACGGCGGUGUUUGGCACCUCGAUGUCGGCUCAUCACAUCCUGGGGCUGAAGUAGGUCCCAAGGGUAUGGCUGUUCGCCAUUUAAAGUGGUACGCGAGCUGGGUUUAGAACGUCGUGAGACAGUUCGGUCCCUAUCUGCCGUGGGCGCUGGAGAACUGAGGGGGGCUGCUCCUAGUACGAGAGGACCGGAGUGGACGCAUCACUGGUGUUCGGGUUGUCAUGCCAAUGGCACUGCCCGGUAGCUAAAUGCGGAAGAGAUAAGUGCUGAAAGCAUCUAAGCACGAAACUUGCCCCGAGAUGAGUUCUCCCUGACUCCUUGAGAGUCCUGAAGGAACGUUGAAGACGACGACGUUGAUAGGCCGGGUGUGUAAGCGCAGCGAUGCGUUGAGCUAACCGGUACUAAUGAACCGUGAGGCUUAACCUUACAAC
rnacentral:rRNA from 1 species